AUGUUCAAAUCACCUAAAAAGAAUAGGAGGAGAUCCCAGGAUCCUGAUUCAUCACCUUUUAAUAAUUCAAAUGAUGGACAUGUGUACAAUAUGCAAAGCAAAGAGGAUUCUACAUUUCUUCAACCUCCACUAAAAAGUUUCACCCUGUCACCUUUUUUCACUAGAACACCACCCAAGAAGCUAACAGAGGAUUUAUUCCCAUCCAUCAUACACAACACACCUGAGAGAAGAAAA